rnacentral:piRNA from 1 species
UCACCGUAUAUUUUCGUGCCAUUUGAUC